GCAGAGCCAGAGAUAGACACACGACACAGCCACCGGACCGGACCAGACCAGACCAUGGACGGCGGCGGUGUGCGGCCAGCUCCCAUCCAGCCCGCGGCGGCCGGAGGAGGGGCGGCGGGACCGGACGAGCCCCACGACGCGCGCGUGGUGCGGGAGCUGCUCCGCUCCAUGGGGCUCGGCAAGGGCGAGUACGAGGCCCGCCGGCAAUCCCCCGUACGCCGUCGAGCUCGGCGCCGCGAAGAAGGCCAUCUCCCUCGCCGCCCGCCUAUGCCAGGCGGUACAGCAGGAAAUCGUGCAGUCAGACAUUCAAUCUAAGGCGGAUAAGACUCCUGUCACCGUAGCUGAUUAUGGGCCAGCAGGUCCUGAGGCCAAUUCACUCAAGGAAAAUGGUGAAAAUUGAACAUUGUGAUGAGGGUGAUGCCACUAGUGCCGGCGCCAGCGCUCCCAGGAGUGGUACCAUUGACCGGCAGCAACUUGAUCCCACACUUGCUGUUGUCAAGGCAAAGGAGGAGCUGGAUUCGUUCUAAAAAACGAGGUCGUAUUUAUUAAGCAAGAUGAGCUUCUCAAAGAAAGAAGCCGACUUGGCAUUCAACGAGUUAGGUGAGGGCGCUUCACUUGAUGAACUUGUAAAUUGGAUUAUGACUAAUCAAGAAGCUUCAAAUGAGGUACUUGUACAGUCAAGCAAGAUUGAAGUUCCAAUUGGAAUUCUACAAAAGGAGGCCUCUCAGCCUCGAGCAGAUUAGAAUUUGCAUGUUAAACUGACUGAUGCCCAUCAUGGCAUUGUUUUGUUCAUCUGUAUCUAGAGAGAGAUGAUUGUGCUAGUACUAUAGCUCACUUUAUGUGUGGUAGAGUUGCUACAUGUCGAGUGGAGUUUAUGCAGGGGAUCAUUUGCAGCUGAGCACCACAUGUUAAAAGGAGAUGCUACAGGUGUUUGCCCUUUCUCCUGUAUUUCUAGGAGUAAUUGUUUGUCUUCUGGCCACUACAGUAUAGAUGAAAUGUCACAAUAUUCAUUGAAGCUGAUAUUGUUUUGUUGUUGGGAGCACCUUA